rnacentral:pre_miRNA from 1 species
UCUUCAUUCAUCACAUUAUCUCACCAGUCGGAGAGACGAGAAAGUGUGUGAAAUGAAGAGA